GAGUCGCUAUGUAAUGUCAUUCCAAGAUCCACGCUAGAUGUAUUUACUCGUGACGCAAGUUGUUGAUGUUCUAAUUACAGUAGUUACAGAUAGUUUCUGAUAAUAAUGGACUAGUGUAAUACAGUGUUCUCAAUCACAGUGUUUAAAUGAAAAAUAAAAUGUGGAAUUGACUAUAAAAAGGACUAACGUCUGUUUUUGCAGAUAUUGAGGGUGCCCAGUAGGCUGGCGGCAUUGCCCUGCUAGAACAAUGCUGAUCCGCUGUGCGAAAUAUUGGCCAGCCCUCGGGUCACCAGAGGCCUCUUUACUCGUUUCGUCGCUGACACAGUUCAUUGACCAUUUGUAGGCCUUAUUUCAACGACAUGAGAUCAUCCAUCGGUGGACCACCUAAAUAUGUUAAACAACAGGAAGAAAAAGUAGACUUCAACGGACGCACUAGAUGACAGAAGUUGGCACAGCUUCCCAACGCACUGAGGCGCAAUGGCAGACCAGAACAUAUGUCGGAGCCAAAUUAACCAGCAGUGGAACCCACAGAAUCAGGAAGAUUGGAAGUUUCGGCGGUGUCUGGACGAGGCAGUCGACGGGCGGGUGACUUAGAAGAUACAAUGGAAGACCCAGAACAAUAGCCUUCUAUCCAGAUCGGCUAGCUGUUCUAACAACGGGGUCCACAGACAUAGAGGAUGGGCGUCAGGAGUGACGAAAACCUACUGGACCGAAGACUGGAGCUGUUCUCAAUGCCCUGCGAAUUUAUUAAUUUCUGCUCUGCGAAUUGUUUUUUCUCCUCCUCCUCCUCCAUCCUAUUUUUUAUCUGCGACAUCAUUGCGACUCAUUAUAUUAUUUGAAUCUUCUUUUCAGAGAUCUGCCGCCAUGCGAAUGUUAUGUACAUUGACUUCAUGUGUAAGAGCAUCUUUUAACUUCUUGUAUACCGGGACUGUACUUAUUAAAUUAACACAUUUCGUAUCUAGUUCAACUUGCUAAAGUUUAUUAUCAACCAUUAAAGAUGUUCUUUCUCGUGAAUGUAUACAUUAUAAUUGCUUCGCGAAUAAACCAAAUAAAGCGUGGACACGAAAAAAACUGGUCAUGCAUGAUUUAUGGUAAAUCUUUUAAAUGAAUGCGUAUUUUUAAGCAACAUUUUUUUCAAAUAAUUCGUAGAUAUCAAAGUACAUGAUAAAGAUACAUUCAUAUUAUAUAACGUUAGGUUAUCUGUGACUUUUAUCAUUAUAAUUAUAUUCUCUACCUAUUUUUUUUUUUAUCUGGUCAUGAAGUUUUUUUUGUGUCCACACUUUAGCUCUAAUUUGGAAGUUGCAUUUAUAUCAGGGAGUUUUCUGAAAUAUAUCCACCAUUUUUUUUUCUUAAAAACUAAAUAUUUUCAGGUUAUUUCUAACCAAACCCAAAUAAAAAAAAGUUUUCCAUACAAAAUUAAUAAGCCACUUUCAUGACGACGAUAAUAAUGCGUUACAAAACUGACGAACUUUAUAUGACACUUUUUCUUUUUAAUUCAAAUGUCCUCUUGAUUCAAAUGUUGUUGUUUUUUUUAUUAAAGUAAAUGGUAGGUACACUUUUCUGAAAAUGACCAUCAUGUAAUCUGGAAAAAGCUACAAAUUUACGCACUAUUAAAUUAAAAUAAUCGUUUUUAUAUUAUUCGGCCGCAUUAAGAAUGGGAUCUGAAAAUAACGUUAGUAAAAUCGUAGGUACUAAUAUUAUAUCAAUAAUCAAUUACACGUUGUACGUCAGUGGCAAACAAGCAUACGGCCCGCCUGCUGGUAAGCAGUCUCCGUAGCAUAUACUAAUUUUACUGUGUGUUUCCAUCUACAUUCAUUGUGAAGUUGUGCAAUAACAUGAGAAUUGAUUUUUACAUUCAAUAGUAAAUUGAAAUAAUUUUAUAAUUGGUUUUAAAUUUCAUUAAUUUAAUGUUUAAAACUUAUAAAUGUCAUCGUAAUGAAGUAAGAAUAUUUAUUAAUUUGCAAACUACAUUAAUAAUGUCAUGUCAUGAAAUGACCUAUUCAAAAACUACAUAAUUUAUGUGCUCAAUCUCAUUCUGAUUGUGGUUUGAUAGGCGUCAAAGUACUGUAUCAUAAAGUCGGACCAAGCUGACUCUUCACAGACUUUGUAAUGACAGAGUGUGGGAGUAUCAUCAUAAUCGUUAAAUUUCCAUGAAAUAAAGCGUUUAUUGUGGCACUUCCACACGUUAUAUCACGUCAAAGCCGGUGCAGGGUUUGCUUAGAAAUUUUUAAGUAACUUCCAAAUUAGAUUUACUUAUACAUAUAUUUACAUGUUCUCUGCAAAGCGAAUGUAUAUUAUCUGCAAGGCGAAUGUCAUUUUCCUGCAAUGCGAAUGUAUUUUAUCUGCACUGCGAAUGUAAUUUACCUGCAACGCGAAUGUAUUUGUGUGCUUGCGAACUUCAAGACCAAGAACGAAGAUGCCAAGACUUGACCAGGCCGAGCAGAACACCAGACUAUCAUCGAGAAGAAGUUAUAUACCAACAUUCCACUUGGUAAAUCAGAUGUUACAUAUGCUGCUUUUGAAGAGGGAAAUAUAAAUAAAUAUGGCUGCAGUUAUUAAUUUAUUCGCCGAUUCAUAAAGAAGAUGAAUUAUGGAGACUUGAAACUUAUUGAUGGAAUUGUAAAUUUAUUAAAAAAAUAAGGACUUAACUGACAGACAUAUUACACUAUGGAGCAGCCAAGAGCAAGAGACUAGACACAAGGAUAACCAAAACUGGUGCUUGUGGAGAGUCUACAACUGAAAACAGCAGCGCUGAAUAGGCUUUUAAGCUGGAGGAAAUUCAGACAUACAUAAAAUCAUGCCUAUUUCCCGGAGGAGAGUAUGCAGAGACCACGGAUUUCCGGUUGCUACGGUCCUCCCAUACUGACAUACAUACAGGAAAUUCAUGUCAAGUAGAAAGAAGAGAUGGAAAUACCUAAAAAGCCGAGGAUAAUGACAUACAAAUAGUGCUGUAUUUAGUGCGCCAGUGCUUUAGAUAAAUAUUACAAAUAUAACCCGGAUACUGGGUUAUUGUGAAAAAUUACAAAUACCGUAACACCAUAAAACAAAUAUCGUGAAAAAAAGAACAGCAAGAGCUUUGAGUUUGCGAGUGAAGGAGAAAACUAUUUGGAAUUAACGCCUAGCAUAGUAUAUUAAUUACCAAACCGAAAAAUUAACUUAAUGGAAGCGUCAAUCGACAUCAAUUGAUUAUCGAUAAAUGUCGAUCGAUAAAUUUUGUAUGGUCGACCAGUCGAUUUGACAUCGAUCGAUGACCAUUGGAUGCCGAGCGACGCAUCGAUUGACUUAGUUUUUUUGGUACGGGUAGCCUAGUGACAAUCAUUAAAAAACCAAUGUAGGUAUGUAAAAAUUUCAUACUUAACAUGAUAUUUAAAAUUGUUGUUUUUAUUUUUUAUAAAAAAAUUAAGAAUUAUUUGUCAUUAAGGUAAUAGGUAUAAGUAUAAUCUACCACUAACAAAAACUUGUCUUUUUUGUAUUUUAUAUUAUUAUUAUUUUCACAAUAGGGGCCGCCUAAGCUUCGAUUGCUUAGUAGCAUUCAGUGGAGAAUCUUUCUAAAUCCAUAAGGUAUAAGCUUAAUUUCUUUAGGGUAAAUUUUAUUUGUCAAGAAGUUACAUAUUUUCAGUAAAUGUGACAUAUGCAGUAAAGAAAGCUACUCGCGUAUUUAGUGAAAACAAUUGUCUAAUCUGUUAAUUUAUUCUUGUAUAAUUUCAUAAUAAAAUUGAUGUCAUUUUCAGUAUAUUAAAAAUGUAACAAGGGACCGCCUAAGCUUCAUUGCUUAGUUGCAUUCAAGGUAAAGAGUUAUAUUUUUGCAUUGAAAUUUACGUAACACUUAACAAUUCACGUAUUUCAAUGAUAUUUCGAAAUUUAUAAAAAAUAUUUAUGUAUAAGGGACUGCCUAAGCUUCACUGCUUAGUUGCAUUUAUGGGGAGCCAUUUAUUACUGGCGGGAAAGAGGGCGGGCUGUUCCAAAAAAAUCUAUUUAAAUUUAGUAGUUAAUAAAACCCUUUGUUUUUAAAUAAGGUUUAACCAACGACUUUUUUUACAAAUUAAACACGAUUGUAUAAUUGUACUUAGAAAAGAAUACACUGUUUGUAAUACAUCUAAAAACUGUAAUUUAUUUGAAAAAAUAAUACCUCGCCGAGUUUCUUACGCCGGUUCUUCUCGGGACAGAGGUGUACCUUUGCGAACCGGUGGUAGUUUUUUGCCAAUCCUACCAAAAUGAACAAUAAAAAAUUACAAUGAUAUGGUAA